CCCGGAUAGAAUGAGGUGUGGUGUAUCUUUGUUCCAGCGCGAAAAAAAAAGGAUUUUUACGGUACUUCUCGACAACACGGACGAGAAAAGGCAUGGCGAGUCCCAGCUGCGGAGGUUCUACUGAAGGUUUGCGCACUGGCCACCCUGGGAACGAGACUGAAGGUCUGUGCCCUGGCCACCCUGGGAACGAGACUGAAGAAGAAAAGGCAUACAAAUGUGACCAGUGUGACUAUGCGACAGCACGGAAAUCCAAUUUGGACCGA